rnacentral:rRNA from 1 species
ACGCUGGCGGCAGGCCUAACACAUGCAAGUCGAGCGGUAGAGAGAAGCUUGCUUCUCUUGAGAGCGGCGGACGGGUGAGUAAUGCCUAGGAAUCUGCCUGGUAGUGGGGGAUAACGCUCGGAAACGGACGCUAAUACCGCAUACGUCCUACGGGAGAAAGCAGGGGACCUUCGGGCCUUGCGCUAUCAGAUGAGCCUAGGUCGGAUUAGCUAGUUGGUGGGGUAAUGGCUCACCAAGGCGACGAUCCGUAACUGGUCUGAGAGGAUGAUCAGUCACACAGGAACUGAGACACGGUCCAGACUCCUACGGGAGGCAGCAGUGGGGAAUAUUGGACAAUGGGCGAAAGCCUGAUCCAGCCAUGCCGCGUGUGUGAAGAAGGUCUUCGGAUUGUAAAGCACUUUAAGUUGGGAGGAAGGGUUGUAGAUUAAUACUCUGCAAUUUUGACGUUACCGACAGAAUAAGCACCGGCUAACUCUGUGCCAGCAGCCGCGGUAAUACAGAGGGUGCAAGCGUUAAUCGGAAUUACUGGGCGUAAAGCGCGCGUAGGUGGUUAGUUAAGUUGGAUGUGAAAUCCCCGGGCUCAACCUGGGAACUGCAUUCAAAACUGACUGACUAGAGUAUGGUAGAGGGUGGUGGAAUUUCCUGUGUAGCGGUGAAAUGCGUAGAUAUAGGAAGGAACACCAGUGGCGAAGGCGACCACCUGGACUGAUACUGACACUGAGGUGCGAAAGCGUGGGGAGCGAAC